GCCCGGGUGGUGGAAGUGGUAGACGCCAGGGAUUUAAAAUCCCUUGCCCUUCGGGGCGUGCCGGUUCAAGUCCGGCCCUGGGCACCA
rnacentral:tRNA from 1 species